rnacentral:rRNA from 1 species
CCCUAGUUCUGACCGUAAACGAUGCCAACUAGCGAUCCGCCGAUGGAGAUUAUAUUGCCUUGGUGGGGAGCUUCCCGGAAACGAAAGUCUUCCGGUUCCGGGGGAAGUAUGGUUGCAAAGCUGAAACUUAAAGGAAUUGACGGAAGGGCACCACCAGGAGUGGAGCCUGCGGCUUAAUUUGACUCAACACGGGGAAACUCACCCGGCCCGGACACUGUGAGGAUUGACAGAUUGAUAGCUUUUUCAUGAUUCAGUGGAUGGUGGUGCAUGGCCGUUCUUAGUUCGUGGAGUGAUUUGUCUGGUUUAUUCCGAUAACGAGCGAGACUCUAACCUACUAAAUAGCUGAUACAUAUUUUUUGUGUAUUCGGCUUCUUAGAGGGAUUUGCGGUGUUCAGCCGAAAGAAAUUGAGCAAUAACAGGUCUGUGAUGCCCUUAGAUGUCCGGGGCUGCACGCGCGCUACACUGGCAAAAUCAACGUGCUUGUCCUGCCCCGAAAGGGGUGGGUAAACCAUUGAAAAUUUGCCGUGAUUGGGAUCGGAAAUUGCAAUUAUUUUCCGUGAACGAGGAAUUCCAAGUAAGUGCGAGUCAUCAGCUCGCGUUGAUUACGUC